rnacentral:rRNA from 1 species
GAUGAACGCUAGCGACAGGCUUAACACAUGCAAGUCGAGGGGCAUCGGGGUUGUAGCUUGCUAUAACUGCCGGCGACCGGCGCGCGGGUGAGUAACACGUAUGCAACCUGCCCAUUGCAGGGGGAUAAGCGGAAGAAAUUCCGUCUAAUACCGCGUAAUAUGAGAUUGAGGCAUCUUAAUUUCAUUAAAGAUUUAUCGGCAAUGGAUGGGCAUGCGGUGCAUUAGCUAGUUGGCGGGGUAGCGGCCCACCAAGGCGACGAUGCAUAGGGGUUCUGAGAGGAAGGUCCCCCACACUGGUACUGAGGCACGGACCAGG